rnacentral:rRNA from 1 species
GACAGAGGCCCCGAGCGUUAGGCGGAAUCACUGGGCUUAAAGCGUGUGUAGGCGGGCCCGUAAGUGUCUUGUGAAAUCCCACGGCUCAACCGUGGAACUGCUGGGCAUACUGCGGGUCUUGGGCCAACUAGGGGCAGCCGGAACAAGCGGUGGAGCGGUGAAAUGCGUAGAUAUCGCUUGGAACGCCGAAGGUGAAAACAGGCUGCUGGGGUUGCGCCGACGCUGAGACACGAAAGCCAGGGAGCAAACGGG